rnacentral:lncRNA from 1 species
CUGAAAGAGGCCAGAAGGAACAAUGUCCCUUAUCUCCAGAGUCAGAGGGCCCUCAUUUGGACAACAGGACAAGCAAAGGGGUCUGCAUUGGUGUAUGCAGGAGAGAAACAGCUGAGGACAGGACCACGGGGCUUGGGGAACUGGAAAAAGUUAUGCCAUCACAAAUCUGUCGGUGCUUCACAUUUUUCCCCAACUCUGGUUCAGUUCUCACUUACUCGUCAACUUGUGAGAGAUCUGGAUUUGACUUAGCCAGAAAGCAGGCGGAGAGCUGUGUCAUGGACCUGUGGUCUGCUGUGGAAAUCAUUUGACAAGUGUUGCAAAACUAAAACUAGUUUGUGGCAAAUGUCUAACCAUCCGUUUCCCCCAUACCUCUCUUUAUCAUGAACAUGAAAGUUCAGUCCUUUUGUCAUAUCAAUAUUCC